rnacentral:rRNA from 1 species
CAGUCACGGUGGUGGAUCACUUGGUUCGUACAUCGAUGAAAACCGCAGCUAGCUGCGAUAUGUUACGCGAAUUGCAGAUACAUUGAGCGUAAAAUCGUUGAAUGCACAUUGUGCCUUCGGUGUCAUAUCCGUUGGCGCGUUUGGUUCAGUGUUG